rnacentral:rRNA from 1 species
UACGUAGGGGGCAAGCGUUGUCCGGAUUUAUUGGGCGUAAAGAGCGUGUAGGCGGCCAAACAGGUCAGCUGUGAAAACUCGAGGCUCAACCUCGAGACGUCGGUUGAAACCGUAUGGCUAGAGUCCGGAAGAGGAGAGUGGAAUUCCCGGUGUAGCGGUGAAAUGCGCAGAUAUCGGGAAGAACACCGGUGGCGAAGGCGGGACUCUGGGCCGAUACUGACGCUGAGGAGCGAAAGCGUGGGGAGCGAACAGG